GGUUACAGACUAAGGAAACUCCAUCCAUCAUUACAGAACUAUAAUGUUUUAAAAGCAUAUGCUGAGAAGUAUGACUCUGGAGCAGAAACGACACGUCUUUUAAUGAAUGACUAUGAUGUUUAACUGAGUGACAUUAAAAGGAUCGGUGAAACGGCCAUUCUAUAGGAUGCAAGAAUAAACAUGCUGAUGAAAUACUGUAUGAGGCAGGGUAAUUUGCGUAGAUGAAUACUGAUAACAGAAGGUGGGUUACUCUUAGCA
rnacentral:RNase_P_RNA from 1 species